CCUACGGGAGUCAGCAGUGAGGAAUAUUGGUCAAUGGACGCGAGUCUGAACCAGCCAAGUAGCGUGAAGGAUGACUGCCCUAUGGGUUGUAAACUUCUUUUAUAAAGGAAUAAAACGAGGCACGUGUGCCUUUUUGCAUGUACUUUAUGAAUAAGGAUAGGCUAACUCCGUGCCAGCAGCCGCGGUAAUACGGAGGAUCCGAGCGUUAUCCGGAUUUAUUGGGUUUAAAGGGAGCGUAGAUGGGUUGUUAAGUCAGUUGUGAAAGUUUGCGGCUCAACCGUAAAAUUGCAAUUGAUACUGGCAUUCUUGAGUACAGUUGAGGUAGGCGGAAUUCGUGGUGUAGCGGUGAAAUGCUUAGAUAUCACGAAGAACCCCGAUUGCGAAGGCAGCUUACUAAACUGUGACUGACAUUGAUGCUCGAAAGUGUGGGUAUCAAACAGGAUUAGAUACCCUUGUAGUC
rnacentral:rRNA from 1 species